GGGACCCUGUCUGUUUUGUUCACUGCUGUCCCCCCAAAGCCUGGAAGAGUACCUGGUGCAGAGAAGACACUCAAUAACCUUCCAUUUAGGUAGUUUGGGGUCAUAAAAUUUCACAGAAGAAAGAUGCCUAACAAGACUGGAGCAGAGGACCAAUGACAUGACCAGACAUUGGGGCAGGGGCCCUGCAUGACCCUCAGCUGACCAGGUCACCCCACAAUAAAAGCCACCAUUUACAUAGCGCUUGCUGUGUGGCAGUGACUGUCAAAAGCACUUGAGAUAUGUUAACUCAUUUAAUCUUCACAAUAGCCCUUAUGAGGGUUGUAAAGAGUGGAUGAGAUCAUUCAGGAAAAGAAGCGGUGGGCGCACUGACAGGUACAUGGUAA